rnacentral:misc_RNA from 1 species
AAGUAAAGUCGUAACAAGGUUCCGUAGUGAACCUGCGGAAGGAUCAUUAAAAAUUGGACUCCAUUGGUGAGUUCAUUAAUAAUCCUACCUUUGUGAUUGUUGUUUGAAUAAUUUUUUUCCAAAAAAAUUAUUGAAUGUCUUUCCUUGUUUGGUGGAGCUUGUAAAGUGAAACCAGGCAGGGAAUGGCAACAUAAUUAUUUUUGAAAAGACCUUUUUUAGAAUUAAACUUUUGUAUCAUUUGUCUAAAAUAAUUUUAUAAUAUAAAACAACUUUGACAAUGGAUCCUUGGUUCUCGCACGAUGAAGAAGCAGCAAAUGCGAUAAGUAGUGUGAAUUGCAGAAUACGUGAAUCAUCGAAUCUUCGAACGCAUAUUGCACUUUUUAGUUACUAAAAAGUAUGUCUGUUUGAGUAUCAGUAAAUAUUCUCAUAAAAACAUUGUUUUUUUAUGUUAUGAGUGUUUACAACGAUAACAAGUUGUUUCACUUUAAAUCUUUGUUAUCAAAAAAUCAUUAAAGCUAAUUUUAAAAUUUUUAAAUGGAUAAAUUUCCGUAAAAAGGAAUAACCUAACAAUUUAAAAAUUAAAUUGUUGAUUUUUUUGAACCCAAAGGAAAAAAAACGAAAUUAACUUGAUCUCAAAUCAGAUAAGAGUACCGCUGAACUUAAGCAUAUCAAUAAGCGGAGGAAAAGAAACUAACUAGGAUUCCUCAGUAACGCGAGUGAAGCGGAAGAGCUCAAUUGAAAUCUUCAAGGUUUACCUUGACGAUUGUAGUUUAAAGAAGUGUUUCUGUUGAGUUUGGUAAAGUUCUUGAAAAGGACAUAUAGAGGUGAGAAUCCCGUAUUGACCAUUAUCCAGCUUGUGAUACACUUCAAAGAGUCGGAUUGUUUGGAAUGCAGUCAAAUGGUGGUAAAUUUCAUCUAAGCUAAAUACUGGCGAGAGACGAUAGCGAACAAGUACGUGAGGGAAAGAUGAAAGAACUUGAAAAGAGAUUAAACAGUACGUGAAAUUGUCAAAAGGAAGCGUUUGACACCAGUGUUGUUUCUCGAAAUCAAUUAAAAAGGCCGGAUUUGUGUUGUAUUGACUUUAUCACUUUCUGCACUCUUUUCUUGUCUUUUUUAAUGCACUUUUCGUUAACAAGUCAACAUCAAUUCUUUGUUGUAAAAGGUCAUUGGAAGUGGUUUCUUUUCGGAGAAAGUGUUUAUAGCCUUCGCCUCUGCAAUCGGAGAGAUUGAGGUCUGCAGCGUAGAUCCUUCGGGUUAGAUACAUUUGUGCUAAGUUAUAGCCUUCAUAGACACUGUUGACUAUGAUCAGUCAUGUAGCUUACUCGCUUAUGCUAUUUUACCUACGCUUAGGAUGUUGAG